rnacentral:rRNA from 1 species
CCUACGGGUGGCAGCAGUGGGGAAUAUUGGACAAUGGGCGAAAGCCUGAUCCAGCCAUGCCGCGUGUGUGAAGAAGGCCUUCGGGUUGUAAAGCACUUUCAGUGGGGAAGAAAGCCUUGGGGCGAAUACCCUCGAGGAAGGACAUCACCCACAGAAGAAGCACCGGCUAACUCCGUGCCAGCAGCCGCGGUAAUACGGAGGGUGCGAGCGUGAAUCGGAAUUACUGGGCGUAAAGCGCGCGUAGGCGGUCUGAUAAGCCGGUUGUGAAAGCCCCGGGCUCAACCUGGGAACGGCAUCCGGAACUGUCAGGCUAGAGUGCAGGAGAGGAAGGUAGAAUUCCCGGUGUAGCGGUGAAAUGUGUAGAGAUCGGGAGGAAUACCAGUGGCGAAGGCGGCCUUCUGGACUGACACUGACGCUGAGGUGCGAAAGCGUGGGUAGCAAACAGGAUUAGAUACCCCAGUAGUC